ACUACUCUGUUUUCAUUUUAAUGUCAAAAUUUUUAAAAUAAAUUUAUCAGAAUUUCACAUUACAUUUGUUUAAUAUCAGAAUAAUGUUUCCAUCAGGAGGAAAUGGUCUCCUGCCUGCCUUACCGUUCAAUGCACAUUUAUCUCCUCCUCAGCCCACUCCCAAAAGACGCAGUUAGUGGCUGGGCCUUGCCUGCUUCUGCAGUAGUAACUCCUGUAGAGGGCACACAUUCAGAGCUUUGCCCCCUUCAGAUUUCACAUAAAACUCACGCUGUGACAGCACCCGCCACCCUGAGAGCCCCGGCACAUCUCUAGGUGUCCCUAGUCACUCAGCGAAUUCUGAGCCACACAGAAUUAGAGCAUAAAGUCAGACUCCUUAGGAAGGCUGCAAGUGUGACUCAUAUGUUGCCCCUCUUCGAGGUAAAGCACUCACAGACAGCAGUCGUGGCUGUGCCUAUGUAUUCUCCAGGAUCCCAUCUGUCUUCUCCUCCCCAGGUCCCCUCGGCUGCAGGGCUGUGUCCCAUCAUACCCACUCCUUCUCCAGCCCAGCACUAGCUACCCUGGCCUGGGGCUCAUCCUGCCAAGAGGCCUGGAGGUUGGGCCCUUCUAGGUGGCCCUUGCCUGACACCCCACUAGGCCUUCAGGAAGCCCAGCGAGCCUGUUUGGCACACAGCUGCUGGCCUGGCUAAGCCUGGUGUCUAGGAAUGUGCAGGCCCUAACUACAUGCAUGCGUCGGUGUGUCUGUGUGAUGCGGCCCAGCACAGGCCCUCAGGUCUGCAGGGCCAGGCUCACUCUCUGUCCAGCAGAUGCUGGGGGAGGCCUCUACUUUUCUUUUAUUGUUUCAAGCUGACUCUCUCGGUUUGAAAUCCAGGCCUCACCUCAGCCUGCCUUGCUUCCCGCUUGUGUCCUACCCCAGGGGCUGCUGGUCUCUUCGCCUUGGCGUGAGCUCCCUUUCUCUGCCAGCAGCCAUCUCAGCACUGCAGUUGUCUCUUUUCAGAAAGGAGCCAUCGCCCCAGGACGGGAACAUGACAGCCCAGGGGCCAAGCAUUCAGCCAGUGCACAAGGCUGAGAGUUCCACAGACAGCUCGGGUAAGCGGAGCCCGCAAGCUGCCCGGACCCCUGCCUCAUCCGGGGUAGGAGCAGAGGGGCUUGGCUCACAACCACAAUCUCCGAAGGACAGCUUUGUGCCCCAGCAAAAGAGGGGCUUCACCUGCUGGACCCCUACCCAGGUGCCUGCCUGUGAGGUGCUCUGCCCUCAUUCUCGCUCCUCUUUAUGGAAAAGUGAGCAGAGGCUUGGGAGGUGACAGUGACAGUAUGGGGGUGGCCUGAGUCCCCCGCCCUGUGUGUGCUAUGGGAAAGAGGAGCAUCCACAGAAGGCAAUGCGCUCUCCUGGCCCCUCGCCUCCCUCUGGGACCUCGUCCUCACCCUCUGUACCUGCUCAUUCAUCCUCUUUGUUCCCCUUCCUUAGCACUCAGUGAAGGGCCUGUUUCAGAGCAGGGGCUCAGAAGACAGGGCUGGGGCCACCAAAGACCUCUGUGGGCACCCUAAGACAGAGACCAAGAGGGGUAUGGCCAUGUGACAUUGUGACCCAGGUUACCCUGUCCAGGUCUCACCUUCCUAUCUGCAAGCUGGGAAUAUCCAGCCUCCAGUCCAGGAAUGGCCCUCAUGUCCCCAUCUGCCCCAAUGCACGUGACCACAGGGCUCUAGGGAGCCAGACCUCCCAACAGCAGGCAGUUGCUCUGUCAGCAUCACCCACCCUGCCAUUCUCUCACCCAUUUCUCAUGCAGGGCCCCUGGAGGAGGCAGAGGAGGCCCCCCAGCUGAUGCGGACCAAGAGCGAUGCCAGUUGCAUGAGCCAGAGGAGGCCCAAGUGCCGCGCCCCCGGUGAGGCCCAGCGCAUCCGGCGACACCGGUUCUCUAUCAACGGCCACUUCUACAAUCAUAAGACCUCUGUGUUUACUCCGGCCUAUGGAUCCGUGACCAAUGUGAGGGUCAACAGCACCAUGACAACCCUGCAGGUGCUCACCCUGCUGCUGAACAAAUUUAGGGUGGAAGAUGGCCCCAGUGAGUUCGCACUCUACAUCGUUCACGAGUCUGGGGAGCGGACAAAAUUAAAAGACUGCGAGUACCCGCUGAUUUCCAGAAUCCUGCAUGGGCCAUGUGAGAAGAUCGCCAGGAUGUUCCUGAUGGAAGCUGACUUGGGUGUGGAAGUCCCCCAUGACGUCGCUCAGUACAUUAAGUUUGAAAUGCCGGUGCUGGACAGUUUUGUUGAAAAAUU
rnacentral:sRNA from 1 species